UCCGUAGGUGAACCUGCGGAAGGAUCAUUACAAAUCAGGUUUACCCAGCCAAACAGCUGGGUAAACACAUUGGCACAGGGCAGCACUGCACUGCAAGGUGCUGGUGCAGCCUUGAUGUUUACGCUUGUUUGUUUGACAGAGUAAGUGAUGCGAAGCUAAAUAUAGACAACUUUUAACAAUGGAUCUCUUGGCUCUUGCAACGAUGAAGAACGCAGUAAAGUGCGAUAUGUAGUGCGAUUUGCAUGAAUCUGUGAGUCAUCUAAUCUUUGAACGCAACUUGCGCCUCUCUGAGGCAUGUCUGUUUGAGUGCCGCAUACCUCGUGCAGCAAUGCGAUUUGACCAAUGUCUGUCAGAGUGAGUCCCUGGACUGGACUAGGCUGACCUGGUCUAAACGUAGCCAGAUGGUGGCCAGCGCUGCUAGUCGUCCGAGUGCUAAGCAUUCUUGGAUCUAGCAACACUGAACCACCCCAUCAAUCAAUUAACCAUUUUUUGGCCUCAAAUCAGGCAAGACUACCGCUGAACUUAAGGCAUAUCAAUAAGGCGGGAGGGGAAGGUCGGACUGGCCAAGGGCACACAGGGGGGGAUA
rnacentral:rRNA from 1 species